AUUGAACGCUGGCGGCAGGCCUAACACAUGCAAGUCGAACGAGCGGCGGACGGGUGAGUAAUGUCUGGGAAACUGCCUGAUGGAGGGGGAUAACUACUGGAAACGGUAGCUAAAACCGCAUACCAUCGGAUGUGCGCAGAUGGGAUUAGCUAGUAGGUGGGGUAAAGGCUCACCUAGGCGAUGAUCCCUAGCUGGUCUGAGAGGAUGACCAGCCAGACUGGAACUGAUACCCGGUCCAGACUCCUGCGAGAGGCAGCAGUGGAGAUUAGUGCACAAUGGGCGCAAGCCUGGUGCAGCCAUGCCGCAUGUAUGAAGAAGGCCUUAGGGUUGUCAAGUACUUUCAGCGGCGAGGCGUUACCCGCACAAGAAGCAACGGCUAACUCCGUGCCAGCCGCCGCGGUAAUUC
rnacentral:rRNA from 1 species